GAACUUUUGCUGUGAGUAAUCAUGAUGCUAAGACCCUUGUUCUCUCAUUUAAUCCCCACAAAAUCCAACAGCCUGAGAAAGCUGAUGACCAGAGAGGCAAAUCUACCUGCCCAGCAUCAGCCAGCAGAUGUUCUGAGUGCCGGUGGAAAGCACGAAGGGAAUCUAAAGAGGAGACGUUCUUCUUCGCCCCCUGACCUUACAUCUGAUUCCGGGAUCCCUACUAGAAACAGGAUACAUGGAAAAGCAGAGCAAAACAAAACAAAAACCUUGAGUCAAGAGCGUUCCAAUCCUCUUGCCUCUUAUCCCAACCAUCUGAUCCCUGGCUCCCUCCUCAGCUGCAGCAAUGUGUUUCCAUAGAAAACCGCGCUUGCCUUAUCUCCCUUCGGAGAAAAUUUGCUGUUUCUGAAAAGAUACAUGCUUCCCACAAACAGUGCUGUGCACCUGUCAUAGGUCCAGGAGCAGGAAGGCAAAUCUAGGUAGUGAAAUUGCCUCCUUUUGCUUAUCUGCAAACUCUUAGCUUAGAUAGGGCAUCGGAAGAAGACACCAGAACAUCUUGCCUCUAGGCAGCUGGGCCAGCAAUCCCCUUGGCUUAGCAAUGAGAAAUCCCCUGAAUUAGCCGGGGUGAAGGGACACAACACCACCCCUGCUGGCAGCAGAGCCGCCUGUACCAAAGCCGCGGGGUUCCCAGCCGCUGUUCAUUAGUGCUGCCCACAGGCCAAGGGAGAAGUCUGUCUCCUCCGCUGGGCAGAAGGUCCAGGUUCCAGGGCACUGGAGGGGAUAAUUGUCUUCAUAGCCAGGAGAUGCUUGGCAGGGAGGUCAAGUGACUUUAUUCAUUCCAAAAAAGUCUAGGCAGACGAUGGUGAUAAAACCAUAUUGUCCUUAACUCCUGGCAAAACAAACAAAUGAAUGAUGUUUUGGAAGCAGCAGGCUGUGGCAGAAAGAACGAGAGGGGUCUGAGACCUGGAAUCUUGCCAACUAUGAGUUGUGUGCCAGUUUAUCUGGCAACAUUAGAAAAAAUGAUUCUUGCCUUGCAUAUUUCAUCGGGCUUUUAUGACAAUUAAGUGGGAUACUAGGUAUAAAAGGACUUUGAAAAAUGUUUCAUUCAUUCAUUCAUUCAUUCAUUCAUUCAUUCAUUGAAAUAGAGAUGAGUGUGCACUGGAUGCCAAGCACUGAGGAUGGAGCUGUGCUAGAUGGCAACUGCCCUCACAUGCAAGCGGUGGAGGACAGGUGUGCCAUCGCCCCCUGGGCUGAGGAAUGGUUUCUCAGGGGUGCCCCCCAGGGGCCAGGUCCUAGCAGUUCACCUGCCAGUUCAGCGGGAUGUCCAGUUUCUUUCCUUAGGUCCCUUCUAAGUCUUCAGGUUGCUGCCUGGGGUCCAAAUGGCCAGACCAUCUUUCUCCAAGCCACUGCCUGAACUGGAGCCCCAGGAGAUUGCUCCUUGGAGGCUACGAUGUGUCACAACUGCCACCGUGGAUUCUCACUUCAGCAAGGAUCCCCAUUGCCGAGCCACCCAGCCUGCCUCCCGGGACAGGAAAAUCCCAAAUAAUUUCUCAACUUGCUACUCUUGGCACUGAUGGCAGCUAGAUUUCAGUCUCCAGAGACAGUGGGAUUUCUACCCAAGCUGCUGGGAUCCUUUGAGGUAAGGAAGUUGAGGCUUGGAGAGGUUAAGUAACCUCCCAGGUCACCCUAUAAGUGACAGCUUCAGGAUUUAACCAGAGUCAUCACCUCCAAACACCAAGCUCUACUGGAGGAGCUGAGGAGGAGAAUUUUGCAAGAGGUACAGCACCCCAAAAUAAGACCUACAGAUCUUUAGAUUCAAGUUCAAGCCUGCCCUCUGGAUGGCAAGGUCAGGAGUGUUUCCAUCCUCCACCAAUCUGUGACUGUCUUUCCUCUGGGGGGGGGGGGGAAGAGUAUGGGAGCGUGUGUGUGUGUGUGUGUGUGUGUGUGUGUGUGUGUGUGUGUGUCUUUCCUUUUCAAUGGCCUCACUUCUGGUCUUGUCUCCCUCUACCCUCGGGGUGGCUUCCAUCUCGGAUCUGGCUUACCUUCCCACACCAGCAGCUGGGCCAGCUUGCCCCGAUAGGGUUCUACAACUUUACAUCUUUGUCUCCUCCUAUAAAUCUGUCCCCUGAAUUUGCAGCUUUCCCCGAACCACAGAUCAACCUCAACUGUUUCUCUUGCAGAAAACAAAAUUAAACCUCUUCCUCACCAGACUCCCAGCUGUGCACAAAAAAUUAAUCAAUUACUUUUGAGAUAAGAGCUGCAAAGGAGAAGCUCAAGGGGGUGGUGGCAACACUCCUGCUAUCUCUGAAGACACUUCUGAACUAUUCUCUGGAAAGGGAGGUUGAGCUUGCAGGGGAUGUGUGCUCAUCCCAGUGGGUGUUUCAAGAACUACAGGCUCCCCUGGAAUGUGUCUCUCUCUCUCCCUCCCUCCCUCUCUCUCUCUCUCUCUCUCUCUCUCACACACACACACACACACACACACACACAGAUACACACACACACAUUCUCUUAAGUGAUGAUAUUAAAGUAUUAACCCUCCUCAUUCCUUGGUGUGCAUGACAACUACUACUGUGUCUGAAGAAUGAAAUUAGCUUUCUAUUAUAAAACCAGGAUUAUUAGAAUCCAUGGAAGGGAGGAGGGAGGGGCUACCUGGGGUGUAUGUGAGUUACAAAAGUCCCAAGGAGGUGAAUGCUCUGGACCAGAAAGGACUUGAUUGUUCAUACAGAGUCUGCUGGUCAUUUGGGUCUGCAAACGGUCCUUACCUGCAAUGGCCCCUCACACAGGAACUGGAGCUGGGCGGUGCAGGUGGCAGGGCAGGCCUCUGUCCUCACUGCACAGGGAGUGCAUGAGCCAGGGAGUGCUCCAAAGCACCAAUACCACCCCCUCCUCCAGACCCCCUUAACCCUGAGUCCUAGGCAACAGCUUGUUUUGAAGCGGCUCAGAGAAUUGUAAUGGGCAGCCGGAAGGAGGACGGCUGUGCUACAGAAAGCAAGGCCUCCAAAAACCAAAAUAGAAAUCCACUCAACUUAGAACUGUAAACGAGAGAGGACACGGAGCAAGCGGAGCAGAAGAUGCACGCGUCCAUCCAUUCACUCACUGGCUCACUCAGCAAGAGUGUUUAUUGAGAACCUACUGCACGCCAGGCAGCUUGGAGAAUCCCCCAGACUCAGCAACCUGAACAGAUGGAAAGCUCUAGGAGAAUCGUCCAAGAAAAGAGCCUAGACAUGACAGGGUGAGACGAUGGGCAGAUCCUUGCAAGGUUCUAGAACCUCUCCACCCACGUGAGCUAUUUUGUUCUGUUUCCCAGACGUGUUCUGUAAUAAAACC